rnacentral:rRNA from 1 species
CAGUCGCCGCGGGAAUACGUAGGUGGCGAGCGUUGUCCGGAAUUAUUGGGCGUAAAGGGCUCGCAGGCGGUUUCCUAAGUCUGAUGUGAAAGCCCCCGGCUCAGCCGGGGGGGGUCAUUGGAAACUGGGAAACUUGAGUGCAGAAGAGGAGAGUGGAAUUCCCCGUGUAACGGUGAAAUGCGUAGAGAUGUGGAGGAACACCAGUGGCGAAGGCGACUCUCUGGUCUGUAACUGACGCUGAGGAGCGAAAGCGUGGGGAGCGAACAGGAUUAGAUACCCCCGUAGUCCCUGUCUCUUAUAC